GUGUCAGCAGCCGCGGUAAUACGGAGGGAGCUAGCGUUGUUCGGAAUUACUGGGCGUAAAGCGCGCGUAGGCGGUUUAUCAAGUCAGAGGUGAAAUCCCGGGGCUCAACCCCGGAACUGCCUUUGAAACUAGUAAACUAGAAUCUUGGAGAGGUCAGUGGAAUUCCGAGUGUAGAGGUGAAAUUCGUAGAUAUUCGGAAGAACACCAGUGGCGAAGGCGACUGACUGGACAAGUAUUGACGCUGAGGUGCGAAAGCGUGGGGAGCAAACAGGAUUAGAUACCCGCGUAGUCC
rnacentral:rRNA from 1 species